UAAUACUCCAUAGAUUAGAGACACUGAAAUGUUCUUUAGUCGAAAGUUCUGGCGCCUUAGGAUGGAUCUGCGGUCGAUUAGGUUGUUGUUGGGGUAACGACCCAACAAGCCAGUAAUCGGUACGGGUUGUGGGAGCAAGAGCCCGGAGUUGGAUUCUGAGACACGAAUCCAGGCCCUACGGGGCGCAGCAGGCGCGAAAACUUUACAAUGCGGGCAACCGUGAUAAGGGAACCUCGAGUGCCUGUAUAUGCAGGCUGUCCAGGUGUCUAAAGAACACCUGAAGAAAGGGCCGGGCAAGACCGGUGCCAGCCGCCGCGGUAAUACCGGCGGCUCGAGUGGUGGCCACUUUUAUUGGGCUUAAAGCGUUCGUAGCUGGGUUAUUAAGUCUCUUGGGAAAUCCGACGGCUCAACUGUCGGGCGUCUAAGAGAUACUGGUAAUCUUGGAACCGGGAGAGGUGAGGGGUACUUCGGGGGUAGGAGUGAAAUCCUGUAAUCCUCGAGGGACCACCUGUGGCGAAGGCGCCUCACCAGAACGGCUUCGACAGUGAGGGACGAAAGCUGGGGGAGCGAACCGGAUUAGAUACCCGGGUAGUCCCAGCCGUAAACUAUGCGCGUUAGGUGU
rnacentral:rRNA from 1 species